rnacentral:lncRNA from 1 species
ACUGAGAUCCAGGAAAGGGAAGUGAUUUUCCAAAGACACACCUGUGAAAGGUGAGGAGAACAGCCCAGUGAGGCUGAGGCCACACAAUUAACCCCAGUCUUUGCACUACAACUCUACCAGGGAUCCUGGUUUGGCUCAUUUUCUUUCUUCUGCACCAUGAUUGUUCACCUUUUCAUUACCAGCAACAUACCCAAAGACCUAGCUAUAGACUCGUUGGAAUCUGUUACUUAGCAGCUGUGUGAAUCAAGUGUUCAAUAGGAAUAAUAAGAUGUAUUCAUCUUACCUUUUCAGAACAUUAUGAAGAACAAAUGUGGUAAGACAUAUGAAAAUGCUUUGUAAAGUGUUAGAUGCUUAAUACACAGAAGACAUUGCUUCCAGAUCUGUUUCAACGUACCCCAAGAAUGGAAUAAGUGGAAUAUGCUGGUUUCAUGCACUGUGGCAAGGGGGUCUCAUCUUGGCUAGACUUGAAUAAGUGGAUUUGUUGCCUGGCCUCUGUGGAUGGCUCUUUCUCUGGGCUUUUGUGUAUUUGAUUUUUUAUUUGCUCCAGCAGCCGUGUUGAACCAUGAAAGGACCUCAGGAAUGAAACCCACACACAGCAAAGCAACAAAGUGAAAGAAGCGUGGAUUCCUAAUGCAGGAGGCACUGAACCAAUCAAUACCCACUGCCCUCCAGACCUCCACAUGAAAGAAAAAAACUGCUGUCCUGGAUUCCUUUAAGCCUCUCUGAAACUUGACCCUCUGGCAGGAACAGGUGCCAUUACAUACAGACACUCUCUCUCUUCCAAAUUCACCCUGUCAUAUCAAAGGGAAAACUGAAGUGGUCCACUGUAGACCUGACAGAUGAUCACAAACAGGAAACCAGCAAUCAGAAGUGCCUACUGAGCUCCCUACCCUGACCAUCACCUACAGCUACAUUUUACAGAUACAAAAUCAUUGUUUGUUCAACUUUCAUAUCAAAGGAUGCUAUUAGUUCAUUUCCAAAGGUGGGAAAAUGUUUCAACUUACUUUAUUACUUGUCUGCUACUUACUAUUUUCCCUCCGUUUGCCUGCCUGACUUCUUUUAACUCUUCACUCAACAAAUAUCUACUGACUACUGAGCACUUGCCAAGUGCUAGGCCAGAGCUGGAUGCUGUACUACGGGCAGAUGAAGUGCUAUGGGCAUCCAGAGGUGGAAGAAGAGGGUAUAGCGAAAGGGGAGAAAAGGCUGCAACAAUAUUCACUGAGCCCUGUGCUCCCAGGUCAUCACAUAGACUAUGUCAUUAUUCCUCCUAACCACCCACAUGAGUAAAUAGGGGCUAUUACUGAAGAAACAGAGGCUUACAAAGGUUGAGCAACUUGCCCAAGGUCAUCUAUCACAAGACACUACAAGUCAGACUGCUGAAGAGGGAGUUUCUGCUGAGAAGCUGAAGUGGGCAGCUCAUAUUGGAUAUGAAGGCUUCAAAGGAAUCUAAAUCCUAAUGAUCCCUCUAGAGCCAACAUGCAGCACCAGUUUUCUCUUCCACAUUUGAACUGCUCAUCCACUUCCGGCUCCAAGACCUCACUCUCCAUCUAAACUAGUCCCACGCCAUCCAUAUCUUUCUCCACUAACGCCACCCAAUCACAACCCCACAGCCUCUUAGUCAUGAGUCAUUUUUUAAAAACUGCAAACCAUGUAAUGAGCCAUGGCAAUAUGCAACCCUAAACCUCAACACGUGUUUUCCACAACAAGGCCACAGGUGGCAGAAGCGAGCCUAAGGCCGUAGGACACUAAGGCAGGACUCUCUGGCUUGAGCUUUCCAAAAAGGGAGGUGAGAGAAGGUCUACCUGCGGGAAGUCAUGCUGAAGGCCUGAGGCUGAGUCAAAGAAGGAGCCCCCUGGAGGCUCUGCAGUUCCUGGACUUCAGGUAGAGGAACUCUGCCAUGAACACCUCUGGAAUCGUGUCAUUUUGGGACAAUUAGAGAAUAUCAGUUUUCAGACUGAGUUCUAUGGGAAGGUGCCUGCACAACAAAGGAGAGACGGAAUGGACUUCAGGUCUUCCAAAAUACCCCUCAUGUUCACCAAGUUGCUCUCUGCUCUAAGAUACCAGAUGAGGGGGCCAGUGGGGACUGAAACCCAGUCCCCAGUCUGCUGGCCAAUCCCUUUGCCUGUGAGGCUGCUCUGUCCUACCAGAGAGGGCACUUUUCAUAAUUUGCACCAAGUACAGAAUAGGAUAGUGUAGCUUUACCCUUCUCCCUACCAUCAACCACAGACACAUCAACACAUGCACACAUACAGCCACACAAAUAUACCUACAGGCAUACACAUACAACACAGGCACAUACAUGUUUGCACAAAGUCACAUGUAGACACAAACGCAGAGCACACAGACACAAACACAGGCACAAACCCAUACUUACACUACACACACACACAAACACACACAGACACACAAAUGCAAAUUAAGCCACAAUGUAGCACAUAGAGAUAUAGACACAGACGCAAAUACAGUCACAUAGAGAUAUAGACACACACUUAUACACACAUAUAUGUAAAUAUACAGUCUCAUUCACUUUAUACCACACAUGUAUAAACAUACACAAUUGUAUGUAGACACACAUACACAUAGGUACUCAGACCGCAUAGAUACAUAUGUACACACAUACAAAUAUAUGCACAUACACAGAUAUAUAUAUACACACAUGCAUCUUUAACCAGAACAACUUUACUUUUGUCAGUUUUAUAUGACAGAGUCUUUAAAAAAAGAUUUCAUCUGGCUUGUGUUCUACUAUUAAAAGAGAAAAUGAAUUUGCUUGU